UACGGAGGGUGCGAGCGUUAAUCGGAAUUACUGGGCGUAAAGCGCGCGUAGGCGGCUAUGUAAGUCGGAUGUGAAAUCCCCGGGCUUAACCUGGGAAUGGCAUUCGAUACUGCAUGGCUAGAGUAUGAUAGAGGGUAGUGGAAUUCCUGGUGUAGCGGUGAAAUGCGUAGAUAUCAGGAGGAACAUCAGUGGCGAAGGCGGCUACCUGGAUCAAUACUGACGCUGAGGUGCGAAAGCGUGGGGAGCAAACAGG
rnacentral:rRNA from 1 species